GUCGCACGAGAAAGGGGAGCAAUCCCUGAGUAAAGUGGCGCACGGGUGAGUAACACGUGAAUCAUCUACCUCCGAGUGGGGAAUAACCUAGAGAAAUCUGGGCUAAUACCGCAUAACACUUACGAGUCAAAGCAGCAAUGCGCUUGGAGAGGAGUUCGCGGCCGAUUAGCUAGUUGGCGGGGUAAUGGCCCACCAAGGCGAUGAUCGGUAUCCGGCCUGAGAGGGCGCACGGACACACUGGAACUGAAACACGGUCCAGACUCCUACGGGAGGCAGCAGUGGGGAAUUUUGCGCAAUGGGGGAAACCCUGACGCAGCAACGCCGCGUGGAGGAUGAAAUAUCUUGGUAUGUAAACUCCUUUCGAUGGGGAAGAUUAUGACGGUACCCAUAGAAGAAGCCCCGGCUAACUUCGUGCCAGCAGCCGCGGUAAUACGAGGGGGGCAAGCGUUGUUCGGAUUUAUUGGGCGUAAAGGGUGCGUAGGCGGUUUGGCAAGUCUUGUGUGAAAUCUUCGGGCUCAACCCGAAGCCUGCACAAGAAACUGCCGGGCUUGAGUAUGGGAGAGGUGAGUGGAAUUUCCGGUGUAGCGGUGAAAUGCGUAGAUAUCGGAAGGAACACCUGUGGCGAAAGCGGCUCACUGGACCAUAACUGACGCUGAUGCACGAAAGCUAGGGGAGCAAACAGGAUUAGAUACCCUGGUAGUCCUAGCCCU
rnacentral:rRNA from 1 species